AUGGUAAAAUCAUGCUUAAAACACUGGUUCCUGUUCAAUCACCAGAGUUAAGCAGCAUUGAGCCCGAUCAGUACUUAGUUAGGAGACUGCUUGAGAACACCAGGU